rnacentral:misc_RNA from 1 species
GAUGAAGAACGUAGCGAAAUGCGAUAAGUAAUGUGAAUUGCAGAAUUCAGUGAAUCAUCGAAUCUUUGAACGCACAUUGCGCCCCCUGGUAUUCCGGGAGGCAUGCCUGUCCGAGCGUCAUUACAACCCUCAAGCUCAGCUUGGUGUUGGGCCCCGCCGCCCCGGCGGGCCCUAAAGUCAGUGGCGGUGCCGUCCGGCUCCGAGCGUAGUAAUUCUUCUCGCUCUGGAGGUCCGGUCGUGUGCUCGCCAGCAACCCCCAAUUUUUUUCAGGUUGACCUCGGAUCAGGUAGGGAUACCCGCUGAACUUAAGCAUAUCAAUAAGCGGAGGU